rnacentral:rRNA from 1 species
AACGUAGGAGACAAACGUUAUCCGGAGUUACUGGGCGUAAAGGGCGUGUAGGUGGUUCUGUAAGUCUGGCGUGAAAUUUCUCGGCUUAACCGAGGCAGGUCGUCGGAUACUGCAGGGCUAGAGGACGGUAGAGGCGUGUGGAAUUCCGGGUGUAGUGGUGAAAUGCGUAGAGAUCCGGAGGAACACCAGUGGCGAAGGCGAACACGCUGGGCCGUACCUGACACUGAUGCGCGACAGCAUGGGGAGCAAACAGGG